UACCCUCUGGCAAUAGGCAAAGGGACACCUUGUUGGUGGUGGUGUUCUUAUAUCAGUCAAGGGCACAGCAGAUGGCAGUUCAUGCUAACUUGAUGCCUGGCUUGGUGUCCAAAGCUAUUUUAUACCUAAUACCUCUAA